rnacentral:sRNA from 21 species
GUCAGGAACCUCUCGGCUUACAGCCGUGGGCUUGAAAAAGCCCAUACCUGACGAGCCUAAGACCUACAUGGUCUACGUUAUGCCCAAGAGUUAAAGUUCCUACCUUGGGGUGUGUGCCAGCCCUAAGCUGCUAGA